UUAUUGGAAAGAAUUUCAAAGUUUCAAGCUACCAAGGUCCCAACGAAGCCCCAUCAUCCCAUUUGAACAAUUAAGGAAGUUAGGAUCGGCUAAAGGCUCAAAUAAUACCGGUGUUUCUUUCGUAUGUUGAUGUGGACCCGGCUAUGUGCGAG